GGGCCCGCACAAGCAGCGGAGCAUGUGGUUUAAUUCGAAGCAACGCGAAGAACCUUACCUAGACUUGACAUCUCCUGAAUUACCGGUAAUGCGGGAAGCCCUUCGGGGCAGGAAGACAGGUGGUGCAUGGUUGUCGUCAGCUCGUGUCGUGAGAUGUUGGGUUAAGUCCCGCAACGAGCGCAACCCCUAUUGUUAGUUGCUACCAUUAAGUUGAGCACUCUAGCGAGACUGCCGAGGUCAACUCGGAGGAAGGUGGGG
rnacentral:rRNA from 1 species